rnacentral:rRNA from 1 species
GUGGCGAACGGGUGAGUAACACGUGAGCAACCUGCCCCUGACUCUGGGAUAAGCGCUGGAAACGGCGUCUAAUACUGGAUACGAGACGUGACCGCAUGGUCAACGUUUGGAAAGAUUUUUCGGUUGGGGAUGGGCUCGCGGCCUAUCAGCUUGUUGGUGAGGUAAUGGCUCACCAAGGCGUCGACGGGUAGCCGGCCUGAGAGGGUGACCGGCCACACUGGGACUGAGACACGGCCCAGACUCCUACGGGAGGCAGCAGUGGGGAAUAUUGCACAAUGGGCGGAAGCCUGAUGCAGCAACGCCGCGUGAGGGAUGACGGCCUUCGGGUUGUAAACCUCUUUUAGCAGGGAAGAAGCGAAAGUGACGGUACCUGCAGAAAAAGCGCCGGCUAACUACGUGCCAGCAGCCGCGGUAAUACGUAGGGCGCAAGCGUUAUCCGGAAUUAUUGGGCGUAAAGAGCUCGUAGGCGGUUUGUCGCGUCUGCUGUGAAAUCUGGGGGCUCAACCCCCAGCCUGCAGUGGGUACGGGCAGACUAGAGUGCGGUAGGGGAGAUUGGAAUUCCUGGUGUAGCGGUGGAAUGCGCAGAUAUCAGGAGGAACACCGAUGGCGAAGGCAGAUCUCUGGGCCGUAACUGACGCUGAGGAGCGAAAGGGUGGGGAGCAAACAGGCUUAGAUACCCUGGUAGUCCACCCCGUAAACGUUGGGAACUAGUUGUGGGGUCCAUUCCACGGAUUCCGUGACGCAGCUAACGCAUUAAGUUCCCCGCCUGGGGAGUACGGCCGCAAGGCUAAAACUCAAAGGAAUUGACGGGGACCCGCACAAGCGGCGGAGCAUGCGGAUUAAUUCGAUGCAACGCGAAGAACCUUACCAAGGCUUGACAUAUACGAGAACGGGCCAGAAAUGGUCAACUCUUUGGACACUCGUAAACAGGUGGUGCAUGGUUGUCGUCAGCUCGUGUCGUGAGAUGUUGGGUUAAGUCCCGCAACGAGCGCAACCCUCGUUCUAUGUUGCCAGCACGUAAUGGUGGGAACUCAUGGGAUACUGCCGGGGUCAACUCGGAGGAAGGUGGGGAUGACGUCAAAUCAUCAUGCCCCUUAUGUCUUGGGCUUCACGCAUGCUACAAUGGCCGGUACAAAGGGCUGCAAUACCGCGAGGUGGAGCGAAUCCCAAAAAGCCGGUCCCAGUUCGGAUUGAGGUCUGCAACUCGACCUCAUGAAGUCGGAGUCGCUAGUAAUCGCAGAUCAGCAACGCUGCGGUGAAUACGUUCCCGGGUCUUGUACACACCGCCCGUCAAGUCAUGAAAGUCGGUAACACCUG